rnacentral:rRNA from 1 species
UGGGGAAUCUUAGACAAUGGGGGCAACCCUGAUCUAGCCAUGCCGCGUGAGUGAUGAAGGCCUUAGGGUCGUAAAGCUCUUUCGCCGGGGAAGAUAAUGACGGUACCCGGUAAAGAAACCCCGGCUAACUCCGUGCCAGCAGCCGCGGUAAUACGGAGGGGGUUAGCGUUGUUCGGAAUUACUGGGCGUAAAGCGCGCGUAGGCGGAUCGGAAAGUUGGGGGUGAAAUCCCGGGGCUCAACCCCGGAAUUGCCUUCAAAACUCCCGGUCUUGAGGUCGAGAGAGGUGAGUGGAAUUCCGAGUGUAGAGGUGAAAUUCGUAGAUAUUCGGAGGAACACCAGUGGCGAAGGCGGCUCACUGGCUCGAUACUGACGCUGAGGUGCGAAAGCGUGGGGAGCAAACA